CCUACGGGAGGCAGCAGUGGGGAAUAUUGGGCAAUGGGCGCAAGCCUGACCCAGCAACGCCGCGUGAAGGACGAAGGCUUUCGGGUUGUAAACUUCUUUUAAGGGGGAAGAGCAGAAGACGGUACCCCUUGAAUAAGCCACGGCUAACUACGUGCCAGCAGCCGCGGUAAUACGUAGGUGGCAAGCGUUGUCCGGCUUUACUUGGUGUAAAGGGCGUGCAGCCGGCGAGACAAGUCAGAUGUGAAAUCCACGGGCUCAACCCGUGAACUGCAUUUGAAACUGUUUCCCUUGAGUGUCGGAGAGGUAAUCGGAAUGCCUUGUGUAGCGGUGAAAUGCGUAGAUAUAAGGAAGAACACCAGUGGCGAAGGCGGAUUACUGGACGAUAACUGACGGUGAGGCGCGAAAGCGUGGGGAGCAAACAGGAUUAGAUACCCCUGUAGUC
rnacentral:rRNA from 1 species